UACGGAGGGUGCAAGCGUUAAUCGGAAUUACUGGGCGUAAAGCGCGCGCAGGCGGUUUGUUAAGUCAGAUGUGAAAUCCCCGGGCUCAACCUGGGAACUGCAUUUGAGACUGGCAAGCUUGAGUAUGGUAGAGGGGGGUGGAAUUCCCAGUGUAGCGGUGAAAUGCGUAGAGAUUGGGAGGAACACCGGUGGCGAAGGCGGCCCCCUGGACCGAGACUGACGCUCAGGUGCGAAAGCGUGGGGAGCAAACAGG
rnacentral:rRNA from 1 species